rnacentral:snoRNA from 1 species
CCCCUCCAGAUUCCUUAGCCCUCAAAUCUAAACAGUGGUCUGAGUGGCUUAAAGAUAAAAAGGAGGAAAAGUACAACUGAAAUGGACUUGUAUUACAGUCUUUAGUGACAAAUAAGUUCAUUUCAAACAAUA